GCCGGGGUAGCUCAGUUGGUUAGAGCACUGGAUUGUGGAUCCAGGGGUCCAGGGUUCAAGUCCCUGCCCCGGUACCA
rnacentral:tRNA from 1 species